rnacentral:rRNA from 1 species
UUAAAAAGCUCGUAGUUGGAUCUCGGCGGGCAGGGGGUGGUUCGCUCUUCAGCGCUACUGCCCCGCUUUGCCCGUGUGAUUGGCGGAGGUUUCGGGGUGCUCUUCGUUGAGUGACUCGGAGCGCCGUCAGGUUUACUUUGAAAAAAUUAGAGUGCUCAAAGCAGGCUUUUCACGCUUGAAUAUUCGUGCAUGGAAUAAUGGAAUAGGAACUCGUUUCUAUUUUGUUGGUUUUCGGAAAUCGAGUUAAUGAUUAACAGGGACAAUUGGGGGCAUUAGUAUUCAGACGACAGAGGUGAAAUUCUUGGACCGUCUGAAGACUGACUACUGCGAAAGCAUUUGCCAAGAGUGUUUUCAUUAAUCAAGAACGAAAGUUAGAGGUUCGAAGGCGAUCAGAUACCGCCCUAGUUCUAACCAUAAACCGAUGCCAGCUAGCGAUCUGC